AUGUCUAAGCAAAGAAGGCAGGGUGAGGAGGAUGAGGCCAACUACUACCACGACAGCAGCGGCAACAAGGAGAAGAGCCUCUAUCUGGUUCUAGACGACUGGCACAAGGGCUUCACCAUCCGCAAGAUCGAUGCCGAUAGUCCCGACCUCAACGCCUCCCCUGUCCUCCGGCUAGUGUCACCUGAGCGUGGCCGUGCCAUGAAGUUCCAGCCCUGGGCGGCUACAUCAUCGCCACGAGCAACAUACAUGCCGGAACCCUCUUCUACGACACUGACACCGCCAGACUGGCCGUCGGCCCUCCCGUUCCAGACGCACUGCUUUGUGGCUCCAACACCUUCCUGA
rnacentral:rRNA from 1 species